GUCUCAAUAGCUCAGUGGUUAGAGCGCUGGCACUGUAUGCCAGAGGCCCUGGGUUCGAGUCCCGGUUAAUUGAGACU